rnacentral:rRNA from 1 species
UACGUAGGUGGCAAGCGUUGUCCGGAUUUAUUGGGUUUAAAGGGUGCGUAGGCGGUCUUUUAAGUCAGUGCUGAAUACUCCAGCUUAACUGGAGGGGUGGCAUUGAUACUGGAAGACUUGAGUGCAGUCGAAGUAGGCGGAAUUGACGGUGUAGCGGUGAAAUGCUUAGAUAUCGCCAAGAACACCGAUAGUGAAGACAGCUUACUAGGCUGCAACUGACGCUGAGGCACGAAAGUGUGGGGAUCAAACAGG